AUGACGAUGAGCAAGCCGCACGCCGCGUGCUCCCUCUUGCUAGCCCUGCUCAUCGGCCUCACGCGCCCUUCGCCGUGCGCGUCCUCCCUGUACAACCCCCCGCCGCCGGACAUGGCGUACCACCACGGCGGCGUGCUCGACGGCACCGUGCCGGUCUCCGUGCUCUACUACGGCGCCUUCUCGCCGCACCACAAGGCCGUCCUCGCCGACUUCCUGCUCUCGCUCUCCCCGCGCUCGCCCCCCCACGCCUUCGGCGCUCCGGCGGCCGCGUCGUCGGCGUCGGUGGCUCAGUGGUGGGAGACCGUCGACCGGUACGUGCAGAGGACCGGCAGGGAGCGGACGCGGGUGAUGCUGACCAACCAGGUGUCCGACGAGGGGUGCUCGCUGGGGAAGCACCUGUCGCGGCUCCAGGUCGAGCAGCUGGCGGCGCGGCUCGGCGUCGCCCCCGGCGGCGUGGCCGUCGUGCUCACCGCCGCGAACGUAGCGGUCGACGGCUUCUGCGGGAGCUCCUGCGGGCUGCACGGCUCGCUGGCGCCCGGCGGCGCGGUGCACGUGUGGGUGGGCAACGCCGCCGUGCAGUGCCCGGGCCGGUGCGCGUGGCCGUUCCACGCCGCGGACCCUGCCGCGGCGGCGACGGCAGGGCCUGGGCGCCACAGGGGCGGGGAGACUCCGCUCCGUGCGCCCAACGGCGACGCCGGGGUGGACGGCAUGGUGAUCAACCUCGCGGCACUGCUGGCCGGCGCGGUGACCAACCCGUACGGGCACGGAUACUUCCAGGGCGACGCCGGCGCGCCGGUGGAGGUGGGCGGCGGGUGCCCGGGAGUGUACGGGCGCGGUGCGUACCCUGGCUACCCCGGCGCGGUGAAGCUUGACACGGCCACCGGCGGCGGAUACAACGUGGUGGGCAGGAACGGCAGGAGGUACCUCGUGCCGGCCCUGCUCGAUCCCGCCAACUACUCCUGCCUUAUCAUGGCCUGA
rnacentral:rRNA from 1 species